AUGCCCUUAUAAAGGCCAGCCCAACCCUCCGCUUGAAAGAUUCUUCGCAGAGCAUCAAGCAUAUUUCUGUAGUUCUCAACUCGCUCACCAUACUUUGGAUGCCUCUGUAGUCCUCGAAUCUGGAACCUUUUUUUGACCACAUCAAGAGGAUGACAGACAAGUUUGGCACAUGUUCCAGCAGCCAUCCACAGACAAAAAGCUGAAAGCUUGAAAGACUAUCAUCAAUAUUGGUUAAGCUUGUAUUAGAAAACCUGUGCCGGUUCCAGGCCAUGGUCCAACGUUUAAAAGUAUCAUAGGUGCCAAACUGAAGGCCAGCAUAAGGAACAAUCUCAACCAGUGUUGGCGAUAGUCCAUUAUAUAAGCCUCUAAAGCCACGAGUUCUGAUGAUAUCAACAAAUGCAGAUCUCAUUGUUGGAUAGACCUUCGGUUCACCUUGUGAAGCCAAUAUGGUUCUUAGAAGAUCAAAUGGAUAUGAUCCAACUGUAGCUGCACAUCCUGCUAAUGCCCCACUGACAUAAGAGAGGUACGGACUCAAGUGAAUGUGAUUCUCUGACUUUGAAGAACCAGCUGCAAAAGUUUUCAAUUU
rnacentral:misc_RNA from 1 species